UACGUAGGGGGCGAGCGUUGUCCGGAUUUAUUGGGCGUAAAGAGCUCGUAGGCGGUUUGGUAAGUUGGAUGUGAAAUCUCCAGGCUCAACUUGGAGGGGUCAUUCGAUACUGCCAUGACUAGAGUUCGGUAGGGGAGUGUGGAAUUCCUGGUGGAGCGGUGAAAUGCGCAGAUAUCAGGAGGAACACCGGUGGCGAAGGCGGGUCUCUGGGCCGAUACUGACGCUGAGGCGCGAAAGCGUGGGGAGCAAACAGG
rnacentral:rRNA from 1 species